rnacentral:rRNA from 1 species
UACGGAAGGCAGCAGUGGGGAAUAUUGCACAAUGGGCGCAAGCCUGAUGCAGCCAUGCCGCGUGUAUGAAGAAGGCCUUCGGGUUGUAAAGUACUUUCAUCGGGGAGGAAAAACAAAACUAAUAAUUUUAUUUUCUUGACGUUACCCGAAAAAGAAGCACCGGCUAACUCCGUGCCAGCAGCCGCGGUAAUACGGAGGGUGCUAGCGUUAAUCAGAAUUACUGGGCGUAAAGAGCACGUAGGUGGUUUUUUUAAGUUCAGAUGUGAAAUCCCUGGGCUUAACCUAGGAACUGCAUUUUGAAACUAGAAAUACUAGAGUAUCGUAGAGGGAGGUAGAAUUCUAGGUGUAGCGGUGAAAUGCGUAGAUAUCUGGAGGAAUACCUGUGGCGAAAGCGGCCGUCCUAAACGAAUACUGACACUGAGGUGCGAAAGCGUGGGGAGCAAACAGGGAUUAGAUACC